UACGAAGGGGGCUAGCGUUGCUCGGAAUCACUGGGCGUAAAGGGUGCGUAGGCGGGUCUUUUAAGUCAGGGGUGAAAUCCUGGAGCUCAACUCCAGAACUGCCUUUGAUAUGAAGAUCUUGAGUUUCGGGAGAGGUGAGUGGAACUGCGAGUGUAGAGGUGAAAUUCGUAGAUAUUCGCAAGAACACCAGUGGCGAAGGCGGCUCACUGGCCCGAUACUGACGCUGAUGCACGAAAGCGUGGGGAGCAAACAGG
rnacentral:rRNA from 1 species